rnacentral:rRNA from 1 species
ACGCUCGACACCUACGGGGGGCAGCAGUGGGGAAUAUUGCACAAUGGGGGAAACCCUGAUGCAGCAACGCCGCGUGAGUGAAGAAGUAUUUCGGUAUGUAAAGCUCUAUCAGCAGGGAAGAUAAUGACGGUACCUGACUAAGAAGCUCCGGCUAAAUACGUGCCAGCAGCCGCGGUAAUCUGAGCGGGCUGGCAAGGC